UGAUUGUGCUUAUUUCAAAUAUUUACAAACUGCUCCACUCAGCCUCAGUUUGUCUCCUCUCUAGCUUUUUUGUCUCCCCAGCUUGAACCAUCACAUCAGGGUGCAAAAAUGGCCUUUUUGACUCACCGUCACUGCUCAGUCUUUCAUCAGCGACUGCUGCAGCACAAACACAGAUGCCGAGCACAAAGCCCAAGGCCAGGACGCUGGUAACAUGCAGGCAGCUGAGUGAUGGGAGCAAGGCGGCCUCUCUCAGGGACCAAUCUCCUCCGCCAUUGCUUGUACUCAAAGGGACUGCAAGUGUGACGAGCACAGACCCCAGGGGGAUCCCUUCCAUUUGUGCAUCCAUCACAGUUGGUUUUACAACAAAUGCAUCAGAUUGCUGCUUUGUUUCUUU